UUCAGCGGUCUGAGAAUGUGAGGAGAAAGCCCUCCUGAAGUCAUUCAGCCCCAGUGAGCGGUUAAAUGUAAAGACAUCGAAGGAUCUGGAUAUGACAGCAGACACAUCAUUGGAACGGCCGCCGUUGAGGUCCCCCCAGAGACGUGAAGUGACACAGCAGGUGAUCCGGACCCCCACACUGGGAAGCUUUGAGAAGCCAGAAGGCAUCUGACAAGCUGACCCUGAUGUCCCGAUUCCAGAGGGAAGGGAUGUGAUUGCCUUGCCAACCACUUGCACAUCUGUUUGGGCAGAGCCCGUCCUGCCAGGCCCGUCCUAUCGGAAGGCAGACUGGAGACGGACCACCUGGAGCAGGGGACCGCGGCCAGCCAGGCCAGGCUGGGGCGGAGCUACCGAUGCAGAACAUGCCGUUCUGGCGACUUAGCUUCCGAGGAGUAAGAUUCUUGUGCCUGAAGCAUCUACAGGGGAAACUCUCUUUUGCUAACAGUGAACACCUUUGAGGCAUGAUUACGCUGCAGAAACCUCUUCUCACCUGCACACAUCUCACCC